GCCUAGUUAGCUUAGUUGGUAGUGCGUCUGCCUUGUAAGCGCUAGGCCGCGGGAUCGAUUCCCGCCCGGGGUG
rnacentral:tRNA from 1 species